rnacentral:rRNA from 1 species
UACGUAGGGUGCAAGCGUUGUCCGGUAUUAUUGGGCGUAAAGAGCUCGUAGGCGGUCUGUCGCGUCGGCUGUGAAAACCCGAGGCUCAACCUCGGGCCUGCAGUCGAUACGGGCAAACUAGAGUACUGCAGGGGAGACUGGAAUUCCUGGUGUAGCGGUGAAAUGCGUAGAUAUCAGGAGGAAUACCGGUGGCGAAAGCGACUCUCUGGACGGCAACUGACGCUGAGGCACGAAAGCGUGGGGAGCAAACAGG